AUAUGAAUCAGGUGAUCUAUCUGGUUCCUUUUCCCUCCCGGGGAAGCUAACAAACCCAUUGCAGUAAUAAAUAUAAGUAUUAUCCCCACUUUUGAGUCUUGUUUUGCCCGUGAAGGUAAUCAGUCACUGACCUCUCCCAGCUCUUAACUCUACUCAUGAAAUCUUAGCUGGUUUUUUUUUUCUCUCUCCUCUGUCCAGUUGCAGAGGGGAGGGUGAGAGAGCAGCUUUAGUGGGUACCUGGUAUCUGGCCAUGGUCAACCCACUACAAGUUUGACUAUCAAUUGUACGUGGAAUCUGAAAUGCCUAAGGAUAGUGACAUUAAAAGCAAUUUUGCAUUGCAAAAAGGAUCUUACUGGAAAAUGGAAACAUAAUACUCAUUGAUGUUUAAUGGUCUUUAAUGUUCAGUGCACAGACACCAUUAAUGUGGUGCAGAUGCCUAAGAGGGGCUGUGUGACCAGCACCUGAGUAGCUGCUGUACUGCCUGCGGUGGAAUGGUUUGCCUGGCUUUCUACUCUGUGCUGUCACAGAGACAGGAUCUGACACCUCCUCGGUCCUUUCUGUGGCAUUCCACUCACUGAGGUUGGGCUGAAGCAUAUUUAAGCUGUUUUGAAACUACCUGUGCUAGCUUGUACAGUAGCCCCCUGCAGUCUUGCCUCACAACCUCCUCACUGUCCCCCAAGUGCACAGAUGUCUUAUGGUGUGUGCCUAUCGGCUAUUGGGAUUUUUUUUGUCUGUUGCUUGUAGUGUGCUAUAACACUUCUCUCUUCUGGGUAAAUGAUGAAAACUCUUCUGCAAAACAAGGUUGAUGAAAUUGUCUGGUAUUCUUCAUCUGAUAGCCCAUCUGCCAUGUUUCCUUUGCCUUCUGCCUUCCUUAUCUGUAAAAAUUAUGCUGUUUGUUUUUCUUCAUGAAAAGAGACCAGGAUACAACAGAUGCUUUCAAAGAAAGAAAACCCCCCUGAACCUACAAGUCACAAACUCUCAUAUGACAAUAUAUACUAAGGAGAAGUUCUUUACUAUGUCCAACCAGAUUCACAAAUUCAUGCUAUGGGGUAUGAGCAAAUUUUGAUCCUCUCCUGCUUGGCAAUGUUUUUUAAAUAGACCCCUUCCUUUUAUAUGUCAUUUACUAACAUGGGACAGUAUACUGAAAUUUUUUUUUUUCAGCAUUCGGCCCUUUGCAGUAUUUUCCAAGGUCUUGCCCCACAUUAAUGAACACCUUUCCAAGCCUGAAGACCUUAGAGUAUCUAUUUGAAGAAACCCCUAACUAUUACUUUUCCAUAUUUUUUUCUCUUAACAGGAAGAGUUUGUAAACAAAUUAAGUAAAUGAAAUUACUCAUCUUGGCCUCAUCUUUUUGGAGAUUUUUCCCAUAUGAGAGUAGGUAAAAAGCAGACAAAUAUUUUAAAAUUUGUUUGCUUUACCCUCUGUGAAGAUGAGGGGUCCUCUUCAGGGCCGUGUCUGGGUGCUGGGAGAGCUCCUUUUACACGGAGGCAUGGUAGGAUAUAUUGACCAAUCAUUACAGUCACGUUAUAACAUGUGCUUUGUGUCUUUCGGUCUCAUUCUAUUUUGUUACUAGUGGACAGUUUAUUGGAUGGGAUUGAAGAGGCAGAUGCAGAAGGACAGUUUGGUUUGCACUAUUUAGGAGCUCAUUUUGGCUUUUAACAGCUGGCCUGCAUUUGAGGGACCUCCCAGCUGCACUGAUGUAAACAAAGCCCUUGGCGGUUUUUGGCUGGAGGAAGGAGAGCCUCCCCCACAGCUGCAGACCGCGGGGACAAUAUGCACCCCGCACAAUGUAGGAAACAGCAGCUUCAUUUUUUGUGGCACCAGAUGGGUCUAUUGGCUGGUCAAGAGAAUAUGAGACCCUGGUCCAGCUUACUUUUCGCUCCCUUCCUUGCUGUGACUGCAUGGCAGUGCAGGAAAGAGAGCAAUUUUGUAUUUUUUUUUUUUUUUUGUAAUUUGUAAAGGGGUAAAUCUGCAUUAUUUUGGGAGCCAGCUUUGCCUGGCAGGCACUUGUGAUGCUGAAGUGAGACCCAGGAGCUGGUGGGAGGAGAAGGCUGUGCUCCAGGCACGCUGCCUCCUGCUCUUCAGCGGCUCUGCAGAGGAAAUUUUUUAUAUCUUCUCCCCUUCUCCUUGCAUGCUCAUGUGAUGGCCAGAAACAAACAAUCUAGCCAUUAUUGUAUUACCCAACAGAGCAAAAAAACACCCCAGCUAAUCUUGUUUUGUGUCAAGGGAAAAUAAAGUUGUUUUUGUUUUUU